GACGAACCGUCCAAACGUUAUUCGGAAUUACUGGGCUUAAAGGGUGCGUAGGCGGCGCGGAAAGUUGGGUGUGAAAUCCCUCGGCUCAACCGAGGAACUGCGCUCAAUACUGCCGUGCUCGAGGGAGAUAGAGGUGAGCGGAACUUAGGGUGGAGCGGUGAAAUGCGUUGAUAUCCUAAGGAACACCGGUGGCGAAAGCGGCUCACUGGAUCUCUUCUGACGCUGAGGCACGAAAGCUAGGGUAGCAAAC
rnacentral:rRNA from 1 species